rnacentral:rRNA from 1 species
ACUACCUACGGGGCGCAGCAGUGGGGAAUAUUGGGCAAUGGACGCAAGUCUGACCCAGCAACGCCGCGUGAUGGAAGAAGGCUUUCGGGUUUUAAACUUCUUUUAAGGGGGAAGAGCAGAAGACGGUACCCCUUGAAUAAGCCACGGCUAACUACGUGCCAGCAGCCGCGGUAAUACGUAGGUGGCAAGCGUUGUCCGGAUUUACUGGGUGUAAAGGGUGUGCAGCCGGAGAGACAAGUCAGAUGUGAAAUCCACGGGCUCAACCCGUGAACUGCAUUUGAACCUGUUUCCCUUG